CUCUACCAGCUGAGCUGUUGUGCAGAGGCACAUCCAAAUAUAGUCACAUCCAGGAAUGACCCCACGCUGGAGCAGACAGUGCUGUUUUGGGACUGACAGAGUCAUCUUCAGGCUUCCCAGGUGGCACAAGUGAUACUUAAUUUCAAUUCAUUAACUGCACACUGUGACAUGAUAGAGAAAAGGCUCAGGAGCAACAUCCAUUUAACUUCAUCAUCAAGAACAGUCACAAGACCAUUUAUAACUUCUGCUACUGAGAUGUUACUUGCUAAUAGUUUUCUGGAAUCAUACCAAUGUCAGCCUCUAGAAUUAAAAUGUAAAUAAACUUUC